CUCCAGUACUUGGCUAGUCGCACAGAGCACUCCAUCAGCUGCUGAGACCUGAGAGAGAGGUGUCCGACCCGGGAUUCCCUUGCCAUGCCAUUCCCAUGUGAUUGAUGCUCCGACCUCCCAUCUGCGUGCGUACGAGUAUUAUUAGCAGCAUCAGUGCGUAGCAAUUAAGAGCGAGCGAGAUCAGCGCUACCCGUUGCAGGUCGCCACCUCCCUCCCUUCUUCCACCUCGGCUCCGCUUCUUGGGUCUUGCUUGCUCGGCCUGACCAACCAAGAACGAGGAGAAGGGAUGGGGAUGGGGUGGCGGAGGGCGCUGUGCACGUCCGUCCAGCGGGACGACGACCCCGACCGCGACGCCAGUACCAAGAAGCGCCGGCCGCAGUACGACGCGCCGAGCCCGCGCGGCACCGCCGCCGGUUUCUUCUCCGCCGUCAAGAGCGCGGCCGCCGGUGGCGGUGCGGCUAGCGGCAGUGGCAGCAACCCGUCCACGCCGGCCCUCCGCUGCCGCACCAGGCCGCUGCAGCAGCCGGCUGACUCCGCCCCCGUGACGCCGCCCUCCGCGCCGGCUCCCGCCAGGAACCACCGGGUGCCGCUGAUGCAGGCGCUGUCGGCGCCGGUCUCGCCUAGAUCCCCCUCCAGAUUCGCGCUGCUCAAGGCGUCGCUCCUCCCGUCCAAGGACGAGGAGGAGAAGGUGGAGCCUAGAGCGCAAAAAGAUGGAUCCAAUCAGAUCACAGCACAGCAGCUUUUGCCUGUCCAAAUGGAGAUUUUGAUCUCAGUGCUCCAAAUGAAUGAUCCUACUGCUGCUUAGCGUCCAAAAAGCCCAAUCUUUUACUCGUGCUCUUUUCUUCCUUUCUUUGGAAAACACUCCAUCUUGUUUUGUUUGUUGAUCAUUCUCCUGUCUUUGCAGAAUGUUUUGUUUCUCAGCUGCUGAUGUUUUUUCUCUCUCUUUUCUUUACGUGCAGUCCCGGUGCGGCGUGUGCUCGCGUGGCGUCAAGAGCGGCGGCAGCUCGGCGGUGUUCACGGCCGAGUGCUCCCACGCCUUCCACUUCCCCUGCAUCGCAGCCCACGCGCGCUCCUCCUCCGCCAACGGCGUUCUGUCCUGCCCCGUCUGCGCCUCGCCGUGGCGCCAGGCGCCCUUCCUCGCCUCCCUCCGCCUCCACUGCUCCUUCCACGACGACAAGCACCGAGGAGGAGGCGACGGCCGCAAGACGCCGCCGCCCGCCAAGCUAUACGACGACGACGAGCCGCUGCUGGCGCCCAAGGCCGCGGCCAACGGUGGCGGCUUCAACCCGAUCCCGGAGGCCGACGAGGACGACGAGGAGGAGCAGGGCGCCGCCGAGUUCAGGGGCUUCUUCCCAUGCCCCAGGAGUAGGACCACCUCGGGCCUGGCCAUCACCGUGGCGCCCGAGGCCGCGCUCGUGUCGUCGGGCCGCCGCCACGGCAAGUACGUGGUGGCCGUCAAGGUCAAGGCGCCCGGGCUGCGCUCGUCGGCGGCGGCCCCGCGGCGCGCGCCAAUCGACCUGGUCACCGUGCUGGACGUCAGCCAGGGCAUGAUGGGCGAGAAGCUGCAGAUGCUGAAGCGAGGGAUGCGCCUCGUCGUGGCCUCCCUCGGCCCCGCCGACCGCCUCUCCAUCGUCGCGUUCUCCGGCGCCGCCAAGCGCCUGCUGCCGCUGCGCAGGAUGACCAGGACGGGGCAGCGGUCCGCGCGGCAGAUCGUCGACCGUCUUGUCGUCUGCGCGGCUGCCGCAACCACGGCCACGGCAACGCAGGGGCAGCAGAGUGCGUGCAUGGGCGACGCGCUGCGCAAGGCCACCAAGGUGCUUGAGGACCGGCGGGACCGCAACCCGGUGGCCACCGUCAUGCUGCUCUCCGACACCCAGCAGCAGCAGCAGCAGUCGGCAGCGCCGGAAAACUCGUCAAGGAAGCAGUUUGGGCGGCCAGCGGUGGCCCCAGCAACGCGCUUCACCCAUGUGGAGAUCCCCAUCGGCCCCGGUGACCCGCCUCCUCUUGUGUCCGAGUGCGAGGAGGAGCCUCCCGUGGAGCACGCGUUCGCCAAGUGCCUUGGCGGGCUGGUGAGCGUGGUAAUGCAAGAGGUGCAUCUGGAGCUGGCGUUCCCGACAGGGGAGAUCACGGCGGUGUACUCGUGCGGGCCCGGGCAGCAGGCCGUGGCAAUCUCCGGUGGUGCGGGGGUGAGCGUGCGGCUGGGCGAGAUGUACGCGGAGGAGGAGCGCGAGCUGCUGGUAGAGGUGCGGGCACCGCUGGGCAGCCACCCGCACUCGUUGUCGGUGCGGUGCACGUACCGCGACCCGGCGUCGCAAGAGACGGUGCGCGGCGCGGUGCAGCCUCUGCUGCUGCCCGCGCUCCAUGGCGAGCGGGCGCUGUCGUCGUCUCGGCGGCUGCACGACCUGUUCGUGGCGACACGCGCCGUGGCGGAGUCGCGGCGGCUGGCGGAGCUGCAGGACCUGGGGACGGCGAUCCACCUGCUGUCGUCGGCGCGGGCGCUGGUGCUGCAGUCGCCAGUGACGCCGCAGCAGCAUGAGCUGGUGGGCAGCCUGGACACGGAGCUGAGCGACAUGCGGUGGCGUCGUGGCAACAGCCAGCAUCAGCAUGAGGAGGUAGUGACGCCGACGUCGAGGAGCGGCAGGAGGAGGGGAGACGGGGACACGACGGUGACCGUGGGGACCCCGCGCGGGUCAGCCGGGGCAGGGGAGGCGCUGACGCCGACGUCGGCGUGGCGCGCGGCGGAGCAGCUGGCCAAGGUGGCCAUCAUGCGCAAGUCUAUGAACCGGGUCAGCGACCUGCAUGGCUUCGAGAACGCGCGCUUCUGAAGCUCUCGACUUCGAGAACGCGCGCUUCUGAAGCUAGCCGUCGUCGACCUCGUGUCUGUCUGUAAUUGAGUCGUGUUCUAUUUUGGCCUUCUUCUUUUUUUCCCGUUUUCUUUCGCCAGUGAAACGAGAUGAGUACCCAAAGAGGAGGAAGAAGAUAGCCCCCGCCCCGUGCCGCGAACGGCGGCUAGCCGGAGCUGUUGUUGUUGUUAUAUGUGGAUUAUGAAUUAUGAGGACGAUUAAUGAACCCGGAUAGGAUGAAUUGGUUUGCGCAUUUACA